CCUACGGGAGGCUGCAGUAGGGAAUCUUCCACAAUGGACGAAAGUCUGAUGGAGCAACGCCGCGUGUGUGAUGAAGGGUUUCGGCUCGUAAAACACUGUUGUAAGAGAAGAAUGACAUUGAGAGUAACUGUUCAGUGUGUGACGGUAUCUUACCAGAAAGGAACGGCUAAAUACGUGCCAGCAGCCGCGGUAAUACGUAUGUUCCAAGCGUUAUCCGGAUUUAUUGGGCGUAAAGCGAGCGCAGACGGUUAAUUAAGUCCGAAGUGAAACCCCCCGGCCUAACGUGGGAAGUGAUCUGGAAACUGGAUAACUUGAGUGCAGUAGAGGAGGGUGGAACUCCAUGUGUAGCGGUGAAAUGCGUAGAUAUAUGGAAGAACACCAGUGGCGAAGGCGGCUCUCUGGACUGUAACUGACGUUGAGGCUCGAAAGUGUGGGGAGCAAACAGGAUUAGAUACCCUAGUAGUC
rnacentral:rRNA from 1 species